rnacentral:rRNA from 1 species
CCUACGGGUGGCAGCAGUGGGGAAUAUUGCACAAUGGGGGAAACCCUGAUGCUGCGACGCCGCGUGAGUGAAGAAGUAUUUCGUUAUGUAAAGCUCUUGCAGCAGGGAAGAAAAUGACGGUACCUGAGUAAGAAGCCGCGGCUAACUACGUGCCAGCAGCCGCGGUAAUACGGAGGGGGCAAGCGUUAGCCGGAUUUACUGGGUGUAAAGGGAGCGUGUGCGGCAGUGGAAGUCUGGAGUGAAAGGCGGGGGCUCAACCCCCGGACUGCUCUGGAACCUGUGAGGCUGGAGUGCAGGAGAGGGAAGUGGAAUUCGUGGUGUAGCGGUGAAAUGCGUAGAUAGUAGGAGGAACACGAGUGGCGAAGGCGGGUUCCUGGACUGUAACUGACGUGGAGGCACGAAGGCGUGGGGAGCGAAAAGGAUUAGAUACCCCGGUAGUC